UGGGGAAUAUUGGACAAUGGGGGCAACCCUGAUCCAGCAAUGCCGCGUGUGUGAAGAAGGCCUUCGGGUUGUAAAGCACUUUUGUAAGUGAAGAAAGGUGCACAGUUAAUACCUGUGUAUUUGACAUUAGCUUAAGAAUAAGCACCGGCUAACUCCGUGCCAGCAGCCGCGGUAAUACGGAGGGUGCAAGCGUUAUUCGGAAUUACUGGGCGUAAAGGGUACGCAGGCGGUUAUUCAAGUCAGAUGUGAAAGCCCCGGGCUUAACCUGGGAACUGCAUUUGAAACUGGAUGACUAGAGUAUGAUAGAGGGAAGCGGAAUUUCCAGUGUAGCAGUGAAAUGCGUAGAUAUUGGAAGGAACACCGAUGGCGAAGGCAGCUUUCUGGGUCAAUACUGACGCUCAUGUACGAAAGCGUGGGUAGCAAACG
rnacentral:rRNA from 1 species